UACGGAGGAUGCAAGCGUUAUCCGGAAUGAUUGGGCGUAAAGCGUCCGCAGGUGGCUAUGUAAGUCUGCUGUUAAAGAGUGAGGCUCAACCUCAUAAGAGCAGUGGAAACUACAUGGCUAGAGUGCGUUCGGGGCAGAGGGAAUUCCUGGUGUAGCGGUGAAAUGCGUAGAGAUCAGGAAGAACACCGGUGGCGAAAGCGGCAUCCUGGACCGACAUUGACGCUGAUGAGCGAAAGCUAGGGGAGCAAACGGG
rnacentral:rRNA from 1 species